rnacentral:misc_RNA from 1 species
ACUCACGAGUUGCUAGCAGAAAGGCAAGAGAUAUCAAAUUAUUGUAUUGAUUUCAGGUCUUACUGGAGUAGUAUGCUAGUAAAGAUAGAAUAAGAUGAAAAACAACGAGCAAAUCAUGUUUCUGUAUAAGGACAGAAAGUAAAGAAUAAUAUUAGGAAGCGUAAGAGAUGGAAAGGAAUUUAAACAAUGCAUCAAAACUGUGACUUAAAUCAUAUAAUAUUUCAUUAACAGGAGUUGAAGAGGAUAUAACCCCGCUUAUUGAUUAAUGUUCUAAUAAUGACAGGUCCUAACUCUUAAAUUUAUAAAAUUCUGAUAUGAUUACGG